rnacentral:rRNA from 1 species
UACGUAGGAAGCAAGCGUUGUCCGGAAUUACUGGGCGUAAAGCGCGUGUAGGUGGUGGGACAAGUCUGCUGUGAAAGCGCCUGGCUUAACCGGGCGAGGUCGGCGGAAACUGUCCGACUCGAGGACGGUAGAGGGGGGUGGAAUUCCCGGUGUAGUGGUGAAAUGCGUAGAGAUCGGGAGGAACACCUGUGGCGAAGGCGGCCCCCUGGGCCGGCCCUGACACUGAGACGCGAAGGCGUGGGGAGCGAACGGG